CACUGACAAACUGCUUGCUGUGAGGGUACACCUUGUACUGACAAAACUAUUGCUUCAUCCAGCCUGUUUUAUUCUGGGAACAGAACUAUCUUGGCAAAAGUGAGUUUUGUCAGUGUAAUUAUAUCUACACAAGGGGCUUCUGCCAGCAACACUGUUGGUGAGAGAACACAACCUCGCAACUCUCCUCUUUGACAAAGCUGUGGUUGCAAAAGUUUGCAGAUUAUAGCUGGCCUAAGGAAGAGGUUUACUGUCCUAUAGGUUUGUAAGCGAUACAGCAGUACAAAGUUUAAACACUGUGGAAUGGUGAGGCUGGAAAAACUGCAAGAAGGACCCUGAAAAGACAGCCCUUCCUUACUUCGCUUCUGGUCUGAGCAUAGGUAAAUGCCCAAAAGUGCAAGGAUCCUGAUGCCAGAUGCUGGAGCUCUAAAGGGAGCUGCUGACUGAUUGAUAGUCACCAAGAGGGAAUGUUUGCAUCAAAUGAACUAUACAAGAGAAGACUGCAAAGGAGAACUGGCUGUACAUCAUUAGCUCAUUAUGAAUGUGACCAAAAAUUGGAUUACAUGCCAGACUGAAUAGCUGCAACAAGAAUUCAUCAAUCUGCAAUUCGUCUAUUACAGAAUAAAAUGAGAAGGGAGCUGAGCUACAAUUUUUGUCAACUUUAUAAACAAGUACAGAAAAAAAGGGCAUAAACAGCCAGAGAGGAGACACAACAAGAUGAAAAAAUCAAACUGAAAAAAGAAAUCAUUUGAAAAGGUGAAAAGCAGUCUUUACAUGGCUUGCAUAGCUACUUACAUAUUUAAGCAGUGCUUUUUUCCAGCUGUAUCAGUUUCAUGGUUAAAGCAAUGAGACCCAUUGUCUGCAACCUUGCCUUUUAGCCAGUCAUAGGGCCUGAUCCCACUAACAUUUAGUUCUGAACAUCAUUUUUACUAUUACAAUAGCCCCAUGACUACAAAGUAGGACAGGCAAUGUGUAUAUCAGAAGUGUAGUAAUAUUGAACUGGCAAAGCAAACCCCUUUGUUGGUGUACCUAUAAUGUUGAAGCUGUGCUCCAUACCAAUAGAGUGAAACCAUUACCAUCAUUCCCUAAAAGAGAAAGGAAGGUAUACAGUUUUGCCUGCAUAACUGUAUCUAUGCUCACUAGGGCUAGGUACAGACAUUCAAAAAGCCCAAGGCAAAAUGGAUCUAAGUUACAUGCUUGUCUGUAAGUGGUAUAGAUCAGAUCAGUAGUGAAGAGAACAUACAUUUGCCAAAGGGGGAUGGGAGGAGGGAGUGUGCCAAAUCUUAGACCAGGGUCCACCAUU